GACGAGCGCUGGCGGCGUGCCUAAUACAUGCAAGUAGAACGCUGAAGGAGGAGCUUGCUCUUCUGGAUGAGUUGCGAACGGGUGAGUAACGCGUAGGUAACCUGCCUGGUAGUGGGGGAUAACUAUUGGAAACGAUAGCUAAUACCGCAUAAUAACAGUUGUUGCAUGACAACUGUUUGAAAGGUGCAAUUGCAUCACUACCAGAUGGACCUGCGUUGUAUUAGCUAGUUGGUGGGGUAACGGCUCACCAAGGCGACGAUACAUAGCCGACCUGAGAGGGGGAUCGGCCACACUGGGACUGAGACACGGCCCAGACUCCUACGGGAGGCAGCAGUAGGGAAUCUUCGGCAAUGGACGAAAGUCUGACCGAGCAACGCCGCGGGAGUGAAGAAGGUUUUCGGAUCGUAAAGCUCUGUUGUAAGAGAAGAACGAGUGUGAGAGUGGAAAGUUCACACUGUGACGGUAUCUUACCAGAAAGGGACGGCUAACUACGUG
rnacentral:rRNA from 1 species